UUGCAUCUUCAGACCCAAUAGUGAAUAUGCUUAUAAUAAUCCGGCUGACACAGCAAUACGCAUAGGAUGGAUGUAUAAUGUUGGUGAAACUUUGUUACUAUUUCUUGAAAUAUGCAAACAGGAGGAAAUGAGGUUCUGUUUCUUUGAACUGACGAUGUAUCAGUCUUUACCAAUGAAAGCCAUAUACAAAGGUACCUAUUUAAACUCAAGGGCACAAGCCAAAGGGUUAGAGCAAAGGAGCUCUCGUCUUGCAGCUCUCAGCCUGGGGCAAGCAGCCUGAGGACAAGAUUAUGCUAUAAGGCAUUAGUGGAGUGUGCCAGCUAUCUGGCGGGGAAGAAAUGUAUAGUCGCUGGAUGGUUUCAACACAGUCCAUCUUCAAAUCCCCGUUCAUGGACAUACAACUUGUGCUACUGCAGAUCACUUUGUGCCUUACCCUCAGGAUGACAGUGUUACCCCCUGUUGGGUGGAGGUGGAAUGAUUGGGUGUGCUCCCUGGUGAGAGGAGGGAGCUCCAGGGAUGGGGAGUAUGUAGUGUUGCCCCACCUUUGGUGAGAGUGUACAUUUAGGUGGUAGCAGCAGAAGUGGGAGUGAUGCUGCUACCUGUACACACACACUCGUGUGUUUGGUGGGUUGGGUUACUUGUCUUCCUGGUAUAUUUGUGUUUGGAUCUGUUAGCAGUGAUUAUGAUUUAUUAUGUUAGUUAUCUUAGGUUAUAUUGAUGUUUAAGAUAUUUUUAAAAAAAUAUUUUGUGCUGUCUGAAA